rnacentral:lncRNA from 1 species
CCUGGUAGAGUACUGGGAACUUGACCUAACAAGUGCCAAGCACAACACCAGAUUGUGGCUGGUCAAGGUUCCUAAAUAUUUGUCACAGCAGUGUGCUAAAGCCCCUGGAAGAGGUGAAGUUGGGAAAUUGCGGAUUGCCAAGAAUCAAGGAAGGACUGAGGUGUCAUUUACUUUGAAUGAGGAUCUUGCAAAUAUUCAUGAUGUUGGCAGAAAACCAGCUUCAGUCAAUGCUCCUGGAGAACAUCAUUUGUCUUACAAAAUGCUGGAGGACAG